rnacentral:rRNA from 1 species
GAUGAACGCUGGCGGCGUGCCUAAUACAUGCAAGUCGAGCGAACAGAUGAGGAGCUUGCUCCUCUGACGUUAGCGGCGGACGGGUGAGUAACACGUGGAUAACCUACCUAUAAGACUGGGAUAACUUCGGGAAACCGGAGCUAAUACCGGAUAAUAUAUUGAACCGCAUGGUUCAAUAGUGAAAGACGGUUUUGCUGUCACUUAUAGAUGGAUCCGCGCCGCACUAGCUAGUUGGUAAGGUAACGGCUUACCAAGGCAACGAUGCGUAGCCGACCUGAGAGGGGGAUCGGCCACACUGGAACUGAGACACGGUCCAGACUCCUACGGGAGGCAGCAGUAGGGAAGCUUCCGCAAUGGGCGAAAGCCUGACGGAGCAACGCCGCGUGAGUGAUGAAGGUCUUCGGAUCGUAAAACUCUGUUAUUAGGGAAGAACAAAUGUGUAAGUAACUAUGCACGUCUUGACGGUACCUAAUCAGAAAGCCACGGCUAACUACGUG